rnacentral:rRNA from 1 species
AUUGAACGCUAGCGGGAUGCUUUACACAUGCAAGUCGAACGGCAGCGCGGACUUCGGUCUGGCGGCGAGUGGCGAACGGGUGAGUAAUGUAUCGGAACGUGCCCAGUAGCGGGGGAUAACUACGCGAAAGCGUAGCUAAUACCGCAUACGCCCUACGGGGGAAAGCAGGGGAUCGUAAGACCUUGCACUAUUGGAGCGGCCGAUAUCGGAUUAGCUAGUUGGUGAGGUAACGGCUCACCAAGGCGACGACCCGUAGCUGGUUUGAGAGGACGACCAGCCACACUGGGACUGAGACACGGCCCAGACUCCUACGGGAGGCAGCAGUGGGGAAUUUUGGACAAUGGGGGCAACCCUGAUCCAGCCAUCCCGCGUGUGCGAUGAAGGCCUUCGGGUUGUAAAGCACUUUUGGCAGGAAAGAAACGUCGCGGGCUAAUACCCCGUGGAACUGACGGUACCUGCAGAAUAAGCACCGGCUAACUACGUG